rnacentral:sRNA from 1 species
GUAAAAAUUCUUCUCAUGUG